rnacentral:rRNA from 1 species
GUUGAACGAGAGAUGAGGAGCUUGCUCUUCAAAUCGAGUGGCGAACGGGUGAGUAACGCGUGAGGAACCUGCCUCAAAGAGGGGGACAACAGUUGGAAACGACUGCUAAUACCGCAUAAGCCCACAGCUCGGCAUCGAGCAGGGGGAAAAGGAGUGAUCCGCUUUGAGAUGGCCUCGCGUCCGAUUAGCUAGUUGGUGAGGUAACGGCCCACCAAGGCGACGAUCGGUAGCCGGACUGAGAGGUUGAACGGCCACAUUGGGACUGAGACACGGCCCAGACUCCUACGGGAGGCAGCAGUGGGGAAUAUUGCACAAUGGGGGAAACCCUGAUGCAGCGACGCCGCGUGGAGGAAGAAGGUCUUCGGAUUGUAAACUCCUGUUGUUGAGGAAGAUAAUGACGGUACUCAACAAGGAAGUGACGGCUAACUACGUGCCAGCAGCCGCGGUAAAACGUAGGUCACAAGCGUUGUCCGGAAUUACUGGGUGUAAAGGGAGCGCAGGCGGGAGAACAAGUUGGAAGUGAAAUCCAUGGGCUCAACCCAUGAACUGCUUUCAAAACUGUUUUUCUUGAGUAGUGCAGAGGUAGGCGGAAUUCCCGGUGUAGCGGUGGAAUGCGUAGAUAUCGGGAGGAACACCAGUGGCGAAGGCGGCCUACUGGGCACCAACUGACGCUGAGGCUCGAAAGUGUGGGUAGCAAACAGGAUUAGAUACCCUGGUAGUCCACACCGUAAACGAUGAUUACUAGGUGUUGGAGGAUUGACCCCUUCAGUGCCGCAGUUAACACAAUAAGUAAUCCACCUGGGGAGUAC